rnacentral:rRNA from 1 species
GCAGUGAGGAAUAUUGGUCAAUAGCCUAACGGCUGAACCAGCAACUUGGGAGAAUGGUGCUUAUUAGUUGAGUAAGUAAACAUUUAUCUUGUAUAUAGUUCUAGGUAAAAUUUUGAUAAUGACAACUUUUUAUUUAUUUGUCUUGACCAAAUCUUGUGCCAGCAGUCGCGGCAACACAAGGAAGACAAGUGUUAUUCAUCUUAAAUAGGUUUAAAGGGUACCUAGACGGUAAAUUAGGCCAUAGUAGGUACGUUUUUACUAGAGUUAUACAUGCAAGGGGAUUGUGUCAGUAUUACCAGAGUAGAGAUGCAAUUUUUUGAUACUGUUAAGACUGGUAAAGGCGAAAGCAAACCUUUAUAUAAUAACUGACGUUGAGGGACGAAGGCUUGGGGCGCAAACAGGAUUAGAUACCCUAAUAGUCCAGGCAGAGAAUUAUGAAUGUCAUAGGUUAUUUUUAAAAUAGUCUAUAAAUGAAAGUGUAAGCAUUCCACCUCAAGAGUAAUGUGGCAACGCAGGAACUGAAAUCAUUAGACCGUUUCUGAUACCAGCC